CCUACGGGCGGCAGCAGUAGGGAAUCUUUCACAAUGGGCGAAAGCCUGAUGGAGCAACGCCGCGUGCAGGAUGAAGGCCUUCGGGUUGUAAACUGCUUUUAUAAGCGAGAAAUAUGAUGGUAACUUAUGAAUAAGGAUCGGCUAACUACGUGCCAGCAGCCGCGGUAAUACGUAGGGGGCAAGCGUUAUCCGGAAUUACUGGGUGUAAAGGGUGAGUAGGUGGCAAGGUAAGCGAUAUGUGAAAGCCUUAAGCUUAACUUAAGGAUUGCAUAACGAACUAUCUAGCUAGAGUACGGGAGAGGAAAGCGGAAUUCCUAGUGUAGCGGUGAAAUGCGUAGAUAUUAGGAAGAAAACCAGUGGCGAAGGCGGCUUUCUGGACUGAAACUGACGCUGAGGCUCGAAAGCGUGGGGAGCGAACAGGAUUAGAUACCCUGGUAGUC
rnacentral:rRNA from 1 species